CGGGAGGGGCCCUCACUUCUGGGAGUGUGGCAGCUGUGCCGGCUUUGUGUUCGGGAUUGCUGGCUGGGAGCAGGAAGGAGUGAGCCGGGAGGGGCUCUCACUUCUGGGAGUGUGGCAGCUGUGCCUUUGUGUUCGGGGUUGCCGUCUGGGAGCAGGCAGCUGGUGAGCAACUGUACUGUACUGAACGAUUUCCUGAUACAGUGAAGACUGUAAGAUGUAGCCUGGCACUUCUGCUACUUUUGAGAAAUUUCUCAAAUACCAGAUGUGGAAGAUUACUACUGUAUACUCAACCAGAGUAAAGGUAGAAAAAAAGGCAAAUCUGCUCAGGUGUCCAGACCAAACUUGCAGACUCCUAAUUACAAAUUCCCAUGCUGGGGCACAUAAAAAUAUAAACAAUACAAAAGACUUUCACUUUGGACACGUGACCAGGACAUAAAUAUUGACACGAAAAAAAGAUUCAGGACUGGAACAAUGCAAGAGCAACACUGACUUGUUGCUUCUCUGAGUUUCUGGCAUCCUCUCAUUCUCAUGGAGUAGGAGCCAGCACUGAGGACUUCCCUGGCCAUGGACCUGAAGCUGAGCUGGGCUCAGCCUCCAGAGAGCAGAGACUUCUCAGGGAGCCAUGGAGACACUUUACAGCCUCUUGCUAAAACAAGAACCCCUCGCAGCUCUGCUUGCUUCAGCGUUCUGGGCUUCCGGGAUCCUGCCCAUCCCAGAGUCAGCCUGAAGGUGCAUGCCCUGGAAGAAGAGAGUGCCAGGUGGCUGUUCCCAGGUGAAUGCCAGCAGUGACACGAUGCUCCCCGCUGCUGCUGCUCCCCUCUGCAGCCCCCAUCUCACCCGGGCUACGCUGCAUACCUGCAGGCGCUGGGGAAAAGUACUGGGUCUCGCAGCAUAUUAAAACUUUGCUAUCAAGGGCCUGUCGGUAGCUUCUAAUGAAUGAGAUGAAAGAAAGCCUCAGAAGGCAAAGAGAAGAAGAUGAAAAGCAAGAGAAUAUUGAUUGUAAUAUGAAGAAUGGAGAUUGGUUAUUACCAGAUACUGCCAAUGUGGUUUUCAUUUUUUUGUGACAAGGGACAUAAGCAGCUUUUAUCUGGGCAUUUGGUCCUCUCCUCCAAUUAAGAAGGGAAGUUGUCUUUGCUUUAAAAUUUGCUUUUGAUGAAUUUAAACCUAACUCUGAUCAGAGAUGUGUCCCUACAUCAAACUCAAUGACAUGUGUCAUUGGUUGUGACAAGGUGUCUAUGAAAUGAUGAGGCAAUUAUAACUGGAUAGGUGAGUAAUGCAUGUAGAGAGAAAGAAUUGCAGCAAACCCUCUGUGACCACUAUUCAAGAAGUAAUGAACGUAGGUAUGAGCAGAAAGCUUAGGAUCCUGAUGCUUUACCAGAAAAUUAGUGAAAUGGCAAGUAUAGCAAGUUUGAUUUCUUCAUGACCUCUUCCAAACACCUUUGAAUUCUUCACAAUCUUGUCUGUUAUUUGUCUGUAUCUUUGCACUUACCAUGUUCUCUUAUGUUUUGUUAAAAGGGAGAAAAAAAAUAAAAUAAUUUUCCCCCAGUAACUCAUGAGCACAAUUUUGCUGCAUCAGCUUUGUAAUAAGGUGGCUUUGGGAAAUAACUGACAGUAUAUUUCUCCUGCUGUAUUUAGGUGAAAAUCAGUUGAGCCUCUUAACUGAAAUGUUUUAAGCUUGUC